AGAGUUUGAUCAUGGCUCAGAUUGAACGCUGGCGGCAUGCCUUACACAUGCAAGUCGAACGGUAACAGGUCUUCGGAUGCUGACGAGUGGCGAACGGGUGAGUAAUACAUCGGAACGUGCCCGAUCGUGGGGGAUAACGGAGCGAAAGCUUUGCUAAUACCGCAUACGAUCUACGGAUGAAAGCAGGGGACCGCAAGGCCUUGCGCGGACGGAGCGGCCGAUGGCAGAUUAGGUAGUUGGUGGGAUAAAAGCUUACCAAGCCGACGAUCUGUAGCUGGUCUGAGAGGACGACCAGCCACACUGGGACUGAGACACGGCCCAGACUCCUACGGGAGGCAGCAGUGGGGAAUUUUGGACAAUGGGCGAAAGCCUGAUCCAGCCAUGCCGCGUGCAGGAUGAAGGCCUUCGGGUUGUAAACUGCUUUUGUACGGAACGAAAAGACUCCUUCUAAUAAAGGGGGUCCAUGACGGUACCGUAAGAAUAAGCACCGGCUAACUACGUGCCAGCAGCCGCGGUAAUACGUAGGGUGCAAGCGUUAAUCGGAAUUACUGGGCGUAAAGCGUGCGCAGGCGGUUAUAUAAGACAGAUGUGAAAUCCCCGGGCUCAACCUGGGAACUGCAUUUGUGACUGUAUAGCUAGAGUACGGUAGAGGGGGAUGGAAUUCCGCGUGUAGCAGUGAAAUGCGUAGAUAUGCGGAGGA
rnacentral:rRNA from 1 species